CCAGGUAUAGUAUUUGCACUUAUAUAGAAUAAUAAAGCAAAUUUAGAUAGAAGUAAAACAAAAUGAAUCUCAAUACCGACAUGAGAUUAUAAGGCAGGAUCAAACUAAGUGUGUUCAUAAGACCAUAAAAGAUGGCCACUCAACAUAAAAUUCGAUACCAAAAGCGAGAAUACAUAAAAGGUAAUAAGAACAACAAGAUAAUAAAGGAGAGCCAAUUGUGGAGCCAUAACCACUAAGCAUACGGGAGGAGCUCCAUUGUGUUAGCCACCUCAGUCUUGCGAUGCUUGGCAUCCUGUAGCCACCUCUUUCUUCAGAUUUUGGAGCCUCUUAGAAUAUAUAAAUGGUAUAGGUGCCCUGUCAAGGAAAAAAAAUAGAUAAAUACAGAUUGUGUGUCUUAUUUUUAUUGUGGUGUCAAUCGAGGAAAAAGGAUGAUGCACGACUACAGAACACCAAACUACAAUCCGAUGAUCAACCAACUAUACAAAUCAUAGAGGGAUCUCCUGGGCACUAAGCCCUUAUAAAAGGGUUUCAAGGUAUCCACUUUAUCACCAGCCUACAAAUAAAAUAUAUAAGGUGGGGGCAAGGGAAGGACUAAAAUAAAAAGAAGUACUCGCUUGGUAAUGCAUACUGGAAAGACAUGUUGCUGGUAAGGAUCUCCUCUACUCAGGAAAAAUAAAAAGAUAGGAGGCGCGUGGUGCCUGCCUCAACAUAUUGUCCAUGUGCUUAAACAAAGCAUUUAGUGUUGUCAAAUGGGAAUUAGAACGAUUGCUUGGGAUGAAUCAGCCCUUGCCAAAUGGAAACUAAAAUAAUUGUGCAGGAUAGAUCAACCCAAUACAGUAAGUUUAGAUCAAUAGCAAUACAGAAGGGUGAGACAGCCUGUUAUACCAAAAGCAAGGCAAGCCAGAAGUUCAUGACAAAGGGGAGACAUAUAUUUGGUGGCAAAAGUAAGCCAAAAUGAUGGGUUCUUGUUAAGUAGAUAAAAUAGUUGGGUUAUUAGAUAGCGAAAGCAAGCCAGAGUAGCGAAUAAGAUUCCUAUAUAGUUUUAACAAUCCUAUGUAGUUCUGCUAUAAUUAAAGAACCAAUGAUGCAUCAAUAUAACUAAUAUACAGUAGUUAACAUGAAGAAUGCCGAGCAGUGCCCUUUUACAAAAGGAGAGGACAAUCAGAUGUUCGCAUAACACAUCACAGCAGCUAGUGGUAUGACACAUCAUUUGGAAGUUAUUGGGGCCAAAGCCAACCAUAUAGCUAAGAGAAAAAGCGCCUGCACAUGAAGCAUUGUCACUAACCCUGAAUGAAGGGUUCUACUUUCAAGUGUUUGUGAAGAACAUGGUGUAUAAGUCACAGCCCAGGAUCACCGCGACACUUUAAUCUCAACAUCAAUACACUUCCAAUACCACUAAGGGAAAAUAGAGUUAAAAUUCAUGUGAGAACAAAAUAGAAACAACUGUGGUCAAAAUGCAUAAUCCUUGCUCAAAUCAAAUUGAUAAUCACCAGAUGGUAUAUAUUUUGGCUCCCUCCUAGAUCAAAUUAAUUUACACUUAUGGAGGAUUGUUAUUAACAAAGUAACCGACAAAGAAGUGAUCGCCAGUUGCACUGUCUACUUAUGUCUUUAUGAAUGCAAAUGCAAGUGGAAGCUACCGAGGUUCGGUAAAUAGGGAUUGACCAGUAGCUUUUUUCCGAACUGGAAGGAACAAAGUCUCACUUCUACCCAAACCGAGUGGAGAGCACAUCCUAUCAUUCUUUUGAUCUCUAGAUUUCAUCCAAUUGAGAUUUUCAUUCCGUCAUUUCAAGGAAAUGGUGUACACCAAUUUAAGAAGUUUAGGAGUAUGUCAUAAAAGAAGUUUCAGGUGUGCAUAUCGUUACAAGCUUGAAAUACUGACAUAAAAGCUUGAAAUAUGAGAUUGUGCAUGUAGAAAUAAAUAAGAAAUUAUAUGUCAAACAAAUUUAUGUUUUCUGCCAUUCCAGAAAUUCUAAUUUCUUAAUGAGCCGACUUGCAUACGUCUCUCUCCGAAGGAAAGACCAUUUCUAAUUACAGAAAAGGGAUAUGUACAAUGGUAGACAUAUGUGUUGGUCGAUAAUACCUCAAAUGGCGCACCACUAAGAUUUUCCAUUACCAGCUUCUUAUGGAUCAGUGAUACAGAGCUCUCUGCUUGUGCCUGAAUUGGCAGCUUCCUCUAGACCAGCAAUAAAAUUAAUAGAUUAAGAGAGUACCUCAGCAAACUCAAGAUUAAUUUAUACUCCAUAAACUAAUAUAAGUUCAGGGAGGUAGUACCUAAACAGAUCCAUAAAAUCUUUUAUUCUUUCCAGAAAAUGUAGAAUUAUCCAACAUGUAAGGGGUGAACCACCAUCACGACACCAGCAUCUAGAAUAAGUUGAUUUGCAGAAGCAUUGCCACUAAGAAUAAUGCAUAACAAUGAUUUUUUCCCUACAUAUAAGGGGAGGCCUCAAACUUAAUCCUUUACUUCCAUAGCACAUCAU
rnacentral:lncRNA from 1 species